rnacentral:RNase_P_RNA from 1 species
GGAGUUGGCCAGACAGUCGCUGCUGCAUUUUAUGCAGGGGAGGAAAGUCCGGGCUCCGAAGGGCAGGGUGCCAGGUAACACCUGGGGGGCGUGAGCCUACGGAAAGUGCAGCAGAGAGUAAACCGCCGAUGGCCUCGCAGAGGCACAGGUAAGGGUGAAAGGGUGCGGUAAGAGCGCACCGCGCAACUGGUAACAGUUUGUGGCAUGGUAAACCCCACCCGGAGCAAGACCAAAUAGGAAUCCAAAUGUGCGGCCCGCACUGGAUUCGGGUAGGUUGCUUGAGGUUUAUGGCGACGUAAAUCCCAGAUGAAUGACUGUUCAAGACAGAACCCGGCUUAUCGGCCAGCUCCCACC